GAUGAACGCUGGCGGCGUGCCUAAUACAUGCAAGUCGAACGAACAGACGAGGAGCUUGCUCCUCUGACGUUAGCGGCGGACGGGGGAGUAACACGUGGAUAACCUACCUAUUUGACUGGGAUAACUUCGGGAAACCGGAGCUAAUACCGGAUAUUAUAUUGAACCGCAUGGUUCAGUAGUGAAAGACGGUUUUGCUGUCACUUAUAGAUGGAUCCGCGCCGCAUUAGCUGGUUGGUAAGGUAACGGCUUACGAAGGCAACGAUGGGGAGCCGACCUGGAAGAGGGAUCGGCACACCGGGACCUGGACACGGCUCCAGACUCCUCCGGAGGGCGGCGUGAGGGAAUCUUCGGAAAUGGGCGAAGGCUUGACGGACAAAGCCGGGGUGGGGAAUGAAGGUUUCCGGUUCGUAAAACUCGUUUAUUAGGAAAGAAGACAUUCGUAAGUAACUAGGGACGGAUUGACGGUACCUAAUCAGAAAGCCACGGCUAACUACGUG
rnacentral:rRNA from 1 species